rnacentral:rRNA from 1 species
GACGAACGCUGGCGGCGUGCUUAACACAUGCAAGUCGAACGGAAAGGCCCUGCUUUUGUGGGGUGCUCGAGUGGCGAACGGGUGAGUAACACGUGAGUAACCUGCCCUUGACUUUGGGAUAACUUCAGGAAACUGGGGCUAAUACCGGAUAGGAGCUCCUGCUGCAUGGUGGGGGUUGGAAAGUUUCGGCGGUUGGGGAUGGACUCGCGGCUUAUCAGCUUGUUGGUGGGGUAGUGGCUUACCAAGGCUUUGACGGGUAGCCGGCCUGAGAGGGUGACCGGCCACAUUGGGACUGAGAUACGGCCCAGACUCCUACGGGAGGAAGCAGUGGCGAAUAUUGCACAAUGGGCGGAAGCCUGAUGCAGCAACGCCGCGUGCGGGAUGACGGCCUUCGGGUUGUAAACCGCUUUCGCCUGUGACGAAGCGUGAGUGACGGUAAUGGGUAAAGAAGCACCGGCUAACUACGUG